rnacentral:lncRNA from 1 species
AUAAAUAACUGGUAUCUUGAAAGGUCACUUUCAGCUGAAAAUAAAAAUACAUUCCAUCUUCCUAUUUUCAGAUCUUAAACCUGUAUGUCCUGAGCUACCACAUCAGUCAGAAGCAUACCUUUCUUUUUCUUUACAGGCAUCUCUAAGCGACAAAAUCUAGUAUUUGGACACAAGGUGAGUUCCCUGCUGGAAAGCCACCAAUCAGAAUAUAUACAAAUCAAGUGGAAGAUUGCUGUGCUCCAGUUUUCUGUCACCUCUACACUAUGGAUGCAGAUUCCCUGUGUGUGUACCAUGGGCACCUUCCAACCCCACUUCACACUCUCUUCAUCCACCUUCUGGCUACUACAGAAGUGCAAGGAACCUGUAUCCAAAAAUCACACCAUUGGGAUGAUUUCUGGAUUCCAAGAUAGGCACAUGCAACUUUCCUGAACUUGUUACCUUUUAUUCUUUUCAUGAUAAAGAUUAUACAGAUAUAUCCUACAGGAAUAAUUUUCCAAGCACAAUCAGAACUUGGGCUACCUCUGAAAUUUCUGCUGUGCUUUUUGGUAACACAGUAGGGUGCAGUUUGU